GACGAACGCUGGCGGCGUGCCUAAUACAUGCAAGUUGAGCGCUGAAGGUUGGUACUUGUACCAACUGGAUGAGCAGCGAACGGGUGAGUAACGCGUGGGGAAUCUGCCUUUGAGCGGGGGACAACAUUUGGAAACGAAUGCUAAUACCGCAUAAAAACUUUAAACACAAGUUUUAAGUUUGAAAGAUGCAAUUGCAUCACUCAAAGAUGAUCCCGCGUUGUAUUAGCUAGUUGGUGAGGUAAAGGCUCACCAAGGCGAUGAUACAUAGCCGACCUGAGAGGGUGGUCGGCCACAUUGGGACGGGGACACGGCCCAAACUCCUACGGGAGGCAGCAGUAGGGAAUCUUCGGCAAUUGACGAAAGUCUGACCGAGCAACGCCGCGUGAGUGAAGAAGGGUUUCGGAUCGUAAAACUCUGUUGGUAGAGAAGAACGUUGGUGAGAGUGGAAAGCUCAUCAAGUGACGGUAACUACCCAGAAAGGGACGGCUAACUACGUG
rnacentral:rRNA from 1 species